UCAGUCGACUCCUACGGGAGGGCAGCAGUGGGAAGUAUUGCACAAUGGGGAAACCCGUACGAUGCAGCCAUGCCGCGUGUGUGAAGAAGGCCUUCGGGUUGUAAAGCACUUUCAGUAGGGAGGAAGGUAGUGUAGUUAACACCUGCAUUAUUUGACGUUACCUACAGAAGAAGCACCGGCUAACUCCGUGCCAGCAGCCGCGGUAAUACGGAGGGUGCGAGCGUUAAUCGGAAUUACUGGGCGUAAAGCGCAUGCAGGCGGCCUGUUAAGUCAGAUGUGAAAGCCCGGGGCUUAACCUCGGAAUUGCAUUUGAAACUGGCAGGCUAGAGUCUUGUAGAGGGGGGUAGGAAUUUCAGGUGUAGCGGUGAAAUGCGUAGAGAUCUGAAGGAAUACCAGUGGCGAAGGCGGCCCCCUGGACAAAGACUGACGCUCAGAUGCGAAAGCGUGGGGAGCAAACAGGAUUAGAUACCCUGGUAG
rnacentral:rRNA from 1 species